GGAGGGAUGGCUGAGUGGUCGAAGGCGCUCGAUUCGAAAUCGAGUGUGGCAGGAAUGUCACCGUGGGUUCGAAUCCCACUCCCUCUGCCA
rnacentral:tRNA from 2 species